CGCGGACGGGUGAGUAACGCGUGGACAACCUGCCCUAUGCAGGGGGAUAACAUCCGGAAACGGGUGCUAAUACCGCAUAAGCGCACAGUACCGCAUGGUACGGUGUGAAAAGCUGAGGCGGCAUAGGAUGGGUCCGCGUUGGAUUAGGCAGUUGGCGGGGUAACGGCCCACCAAACCGACGAUCCAUAGCCGGCCUGAGAGGGUGGACGGCCACAUUGGGACUGAGACACGGCCCAGACUCCUACGGAAGGCAGCAG
rnacentral:rRNA from 1 species